UCCUUUUUGCGAUUGGUCUCUCCCGAUUUUGGUGCAUGCCGGUCUCCAUCCCACGAUUCUACUCCGGCGAUAUUCUCCCACGAUUUGGUGAUAUCCAUCUUCCGUAGGUGAUAUCCUCCCACGAUUGGUGACAGUCUCGGUCGAGUCUUCUUCCCUCUCGCGUGUCGACAUAGGCAUAAGCUCGAAGUUCCAUGGCGGGUUCUUCUAUUCGGAGGUCGAAGCGUCUGAGGAGGAAUGUUUCUAAUGUUGUUGGAGGUGUGCGCGCUUGGGGCUUGUGCUAGGGACAUAGGGAUGUGUCACAUGGAAUGUAUGUAGGGCAGUCGCUUGCCACUUGGGAUUGUGGCCUUUGCAGGGGUGAUGCACAAUGUUUGCGGUCUCUAUGCGUGUGCUAGAUGUCAUAUAUUCUAAUGCUUCAUAGCAACAUACGUCGGGAUAGGAACAUCAACUUCGUGUUGGGAUCUACGGCUCAUGUUGGGUGAAAUUCAAUUGUAGUCACAGACAAUUCCUUUUUGUUUCAUAUAUUUUUUUAUGUUAGCCUAUGGUCAUAUUGUCUUUGUUUAGUAGUUUCCCUGAUUCUUUAUCUCAUUAUUUAUUUUAAUGCACAGAGUAUUUAUUUAGA